rnacentral:rRNA from 1 species
CCUACGGGCGGCAGCAGUGGGGAAUAUUGGACAAUGGGGGCAACCCUGAUCCAGCCAUGCCGCGUGUGUGAAGAAGGCCCUCGGGUUGUAAAGCACUUUCAGUGAGGAAGAACGCCUGGUGGUUAAUACCCAUCAGGAAAGACAUCACUCACAGAAGAAGCACCGGCUAACUCCGUGCCAGCAGCCGCGGUAAUACGGAGGGUGCGAGCGUUAAUCGGAAUUACUGGGCGUAAAGCGCGCGUAGGUGGCUUGAUAAGCCGGUUGUGAAAGCCCCGGGCUCAACCUGGGAACGGCAUCCGGAACUGUCAAGCUAGAGUGCAGGAGAGGAAGGUAGAAUUCCCGGUGUAGCGGUGAAAUGCGUAGAGAUCGGGAGGAAUACCAGUGGCGAAGGCGGCCUUCUGGACUGACACUGACACUGAGGUGCGAAAGCGUGGGUAGCAAACAGGAUUAGAUACCCUGGUUAGUC